rnacentral:rRNA from 1 species
UCUGGGAAACUGCCUGAUGGAGGGGGAUAACUACUGGAAACGGUAGCUAAUACCGCAUAACGUCGCAAGACCAAAGAGGGGGACCUUCGGGCCUCUUGCCAUCGGAUGUGCCCAGAUGGGAUUAGCUAGUAGGUGGGGUAACGGCUCACCUAGGCGACGAUCCCUAGCUGGUCUGAGAGGAUGACCAGCCACACUGGAACUGAGACACGGUCCAGACUCCUACGGGAGGCAGCAGUGGGGAAUAUUGCACAAUGGGCGCAAGCCUGAUGCAGCCAUGCCGCGUGUAUGAAGAAGGCCUUCGGGUUGUAAAGUACUUUCAGCGGGGAGGAAGGGAGUAAAGUUAAUACCUUUGCUCAUUGACGUUACCCGCAGAAGAAGCACCGGCUAACUCCGUGCCAGCAGCCGCGGUAAUACGGAGGGUGCAAGCGUUAAUCGGAAUUACUGGGCGUAAAGCGCACGCAGGCGGUUUGUUAAGUCAGAUGUGAAAUCCCCGGGCUCAACCUGGGAACUGCAUCUGAUACUGGCAAGCUUGAGUCUCGUAGAGGGGGGUAGAAUUCCAGGUGUAGCGGUGAAAUGCGUAGAGAUCUGGAGGAAUACCGGUGGCGAAGGCGGCCCCCUGGACGAAGACUGACGCUCAGGUGCGAAA